CACGUAGGGGGCAAGCGUUUGUCCGGAUUCAUUGGGCGUAAAGAGCUCGUAGGCGGUUCGAUAAGUCGGGUGUGAAACCUCCAGGCUCAACCUGGAGACGCCACCCGAUACUGUCGUGACUAGAGUCCAGUAGGGGAGCGUGGAAUUCCUGGUGUAGCGGUGAAAUGCGCAGAUAUCAGGAGGAACACCGGUGGCGAAGGCGGGUCUCUGGGGCAGUAACUGACGUGAGGAGCGAAAAGCGUGGGGAGCGAACAGG
rnacentral:rRNA from 1 species